rnacentral:misc_RNA from 1 species
GAUGAAGAACGUAGCGAAAUGCGAUACUUGGUGUGAAUUGCAGAAUCCCGUGAACCAUCGAGUCUUUGAACGCAAGUUGCGCCUCAAGCCAUUAGGUUGAGGGCACGUCUGCCUGGGCGUCACAUAUCGUUGCCUGAUGCCAGUUUCCUCGUGAUGGGUGACUGUGCAGGGCGAAUGAUGGCUUCCCGUGAGCAUUGUUGCCUCAUGGUUGGUUGAAAAUUGAGUCCUUGGUAGGGAGCGCCGUGAUAGAUGGUGGUUGAGUGACGAACGAGGCCCAAUCAUGUGAGACCCCUACCGAAUUUGGCCUUCAUGACCCACAUGCGUCUUUGGAACGCUCAUGACGAGACCUCAGGUCAGGCGGGGCUACCCGCUGAGUUUAAGCAUAUCAAUAAGCGGAGGA